rnacentral:rRNA from 1 species
UACGAAGGGGGCGAGCGUUGUUCGGAAUUACUGGGCGUAAAGGGCGCGUAGGCGGCCGAUCAAGUCAGAUGUGAAAGUCCUGGGCUUAACCUGGGGACUGCAUUUGAUACUGAUUGGCUUGAAUGCAGGAGAGGAUAGCGGAAUUCCCAGUGUAGAGGUGAAAUUCGUAGAUAUUGGGAAGAACACCGGUGGCGAAGGCGGCUAUCUGGACUGUGGAUUGACGCUGGAGGC